GACGGAGGAUGCAAGUGUUAUCCGGAAUCACUGGGCGUAAAGCGUCUGUAGGUGGUUUAAUAAGUCAACUGUUAAAUCUUGAGGCUCAACCUCAAAAUCGCAGUCGAAACUAUUAGGCUAGAGUAUAGUAGGGGUAAAGGGAAUUUCCAGUGGAGCGGUGAAAUGCGUAGAGAUCGGGAGGAACACCAGUGGCGAAGGCGGCCGGCUGGGGGUGACCUGACGCUGAGGCGCGAAAGCGUGGGGAGCGAACCGG
rnacentral:rRNA from 1 species